rnacentral:misc_RNA from 1 species
GACUUAGAGCCAUAUCCAAAAGAAUUAGCCAUCUUCCCCAAAGGAGAGGAAGUACGUCGGGGUUCUGAAAAUGCUGAUGAGAUUUGGAGAGCAUGCUCAACCUCUCGAGCAAGAGUCAUGGUGCGUGAUAGAUCUGUAGUUUCAUGACUGCGUAAUUGAGCCCGGAUGUCGUCACGAAGACCAUUCAAAAAAUAACCCAAAUAAUGGGGAUUUGUCAAGUGAGGGACCUACGCCGCUCUGGCCACAAAAUCAUCAAUGUAUGCAUCGACGGUACCAGUCUGUUUGACUGCGGCCAUCCGUUCAUAAGGACUGGUAAUACCAUCAGACCCAUAACGAUUCAAUGGCUCCAUUGAAAAUUGCUCCCAUGUCAGUGUUGGAAGUCGUUGACGAAGCCAGCGAAGCCAAUGAACGGUAUUGCCAUCCAUGCAUAUAACGGCCAAAUGGAUCUUGUGCUCCGAUCGAGUACCAUUUAACUCAAAGAAUUGUUCAGCCCUAGUGAGCCAACCCAAAAGAUCAGUACCAUCAAAAAGUGGAAGUUCAAUACGACGAGCUG